rnacentral:rRNA from 1 species
UACGGAGGUGGCAAGCGUUGCUCGGAAUCACUGGGCGUAAAGGGCGCGUAGGCGGGGGGGUAAGUCGGGUGUGAAAUCCCUCGGCCCAACCGAGGAACUGCGCCCGAGACUGCUUCUCUUGAGUCCCGGAGAGGAAGAUGGAAUUCCCGGUGUAGCGGUGAAAUGUGUAGAGAUCGGGAGGAACACCGGUGGCGAAGGCGGUCUUCUGGACGGUGACUGACGCUGAGGCGCGAAAGCGUGGGGAGCAAACGGG